rnacentral:rRNA from 1 species
AGAGUUUGAUCAUGGCUCAGAUUGAACGCUGGCGGCAGGCCUAACACAUGCAAGUCGAACGGUAACAGGAAGCAGCUUGCUGCUUUGCUGACGAGUGGCGGACGGGUGAGUAAUGUCUGGGAAACUGCCUGAUGGAGGGGGAUAACUACUGGAAACGGUGGCUAAUACCGCAUAACGUCGCAAGACCAAAGAGGGGGACCUUCGGGCCUCUUGCCAUCAGAUGUGCCCAGAUGGGAUUAGCUAGUUGGUGAGGUAACGGCUCACCAAGGCGACGAUCCCUAGCUGGUCUGAGAGGAUGACCAGCCACACUGGAACUGAGACACGGUCCAGACUCCUACGGGAGGCAGCAGUGGGGAAUAUUGCACAAUGGGCGCAAGCCUGAUGCAGCCAUGCCGCGUGUAUGAAGAAGGCCUUCGGGUUGUAAAGUACUUUCAGCGGGGAGGAAGGUGUUGUGGUUAAUAACCUCAGCAAUUGACGUUACCCGCAGAAGAAGCACCGGCUAACUCCGUGCCAGCAGCCGCGGUAAUACGGAGGGUGCAAGCGUUAAUCGGAAUUACUGGGCGUAAAGCGCACGCAGGCGGUCUGUCAAGUCGGAUGUGAAAUCCCCGGGCUCAACCUGGGAACUGCAUUCGAAACUGGCAGGCUUGAGUCUUGUAGAGGGGGGUAGAAUUCCAGGUGUAGCGGUGAAAUGCGUAGAGAUCUGGAGGAAUACCGGUGGCGAAGGCGGCCCCCUGGACAAAGACUGACGCUCAGGUGCGAAAGCGUGGGGAGCAAACAGGAUUAGAUACCCUGGUAGUCCACGCCGUAAACGAUGUCUACUUGGAGGUUGUGCCCUUGAGGCGUGGCUUCCGGAGCUAACGCGUUAAGUAGACCGCCUGGGGAGUACGGCCGCAAGGUUAAAACUCAAAUGAAUUGACGGGGGCCCGCACAAGCGGUGGAGCAUGUGGUUUAAUUCGAUGCAACGCGAAGAACCUUACCUGGUCUUGACAUCCACAGAAGAAUCCAGAGAUGGAUUUGUGCCUUCGGGAACUGUGAGACAGGUGCUGCAUGGCUGUCGUCAGCUCGUGUUGUGAAAUGUUGGGUUAAGUCCCGCAACGAGCGCAACCCUUAUCCUUUGUUGCCAGCGAUUAGGUCGGGAACUCAAAGGAGACUGCCAGUGAUAAACUGGAGGAAGGUGGGGAUGACGUCAAGUCAUCAUGGCCCUUACGACCAGGGCUACACACGUGCUACAAUGGCGCAUACAAAGAGAAGCGACCUCGCGAGAGCAAGCGGACCUCAUAAAGUGCGUCGUAGUCCGGAUUGGAGUCUGCAACUCGACUCCAUGAAGUCGGAAUCGCUAGUAAUCGUGGAUCAGAAUGCCACGGUGAAUACGUUCCCGGGCCUUGUACACACCGCCCGUCACACCAUGGGAGUGGGUUGCAAAAGAAGUAGGUAGCUUAACCUUCGGGAGGGCGCUUACCACUUUGUGAUUCAUGACUGGGGUGAAGUCGUAACAAGGUAACCGUAGGGGAACCUGCGGUUGGAUCACCU